GACGAACCGUGCGAACGUUAUUCGGAAUCACUGGGCUUAAAGCGCGUGUAGGCGGGCCGGUACGUCGGUCGCUGAAAGCCCCCGGCUCAACCGGGGAAGCGGCGGCGAUACGACCGGCCUGGAGGGGGGUAGGGGGACCUGGAACUUCCGGUGGAGCGGUGAAAUGCGUUGAGAUCGGAAGGAACGCCCGUGGCGAAAGCGGCAUCCUGGACCGACACUGACGCUGAGGCGCGAAAGCUAGGGGAGCAAACGGG
rnacentral:rRNA from 1 species